AAUAAGGAUUUCCCCAAGUUUGGGAAUGGAAAGAACUUAAAGCCGGGCCAUCUUCGUGAGCGGAUGAGUCGGGUCUAUAUAUUAACCCGACCCGGUAACAAUAAUAAAUUGUUUUUUUAAUCCUUGGGUAAUUGCGGAUUUGACAGUUGGCAUCGAUACUACACGCAGCAGCCGAACCUCCCGCCUGCUCGCCGGGAAAUCUACCAGGCCCACCAUCCGAGGCUGCCGCUGCAAAGGCCUCGUGUUCCGUCGCCGGGUGUUUCUACUUCAAACCGACAUCUUCUGUCUCCGGCCGGCGACCAAAUAUCGAAGCGUUAAGACCUGUUUGAGGCUAAAAUUCUGAAACUUAACCAUUGGGAUUUGGGACCCGUCUGUCCGAAUUCACUCUUCUUCUCCUUAUCUACUUUUUGCGAUUGCUUUCUUCUUUACAUGGAGGCUAAGAGCCAGCUCUCUGUUUUUUCUUCAAACACACCAAUUCCAUCACUCCUAAACCCAAAAAAGUCUUUGUCUUUAUCUAUUGUUCAGUCUCAUAAGUGGGUCUCAUUCAGAACCAAGAAUCUGUUAGCACCACAAACUGUGUGGUAUUCUAGAAGACUAGAGUGUAAAAUUAGUGUAGAAAAAGUGAAGCAUGUUGUUCAUGAGAAGGAUGCAAAAGCUGGGAUUAAGAAGAAAAAACUAGCAGUUUUUGUGUCUGGUGGAGGGUCCAAUUUCCGGUCAAUUAAUGAUGCCUGUGUUGGUGGCUGUAUUCAUGGAGAUGUCGUCGUUUUGGUCACAAAUAAACUUGGUUGUGGAGGUGCAGAGUAUGCAAGAGACAAGGGCAUCCCUGUUAUUCUGUUCCCCAAAAGUAAAAAUGAAGCCAAUGGCCUGUCUCCAACUGACCUUGUAGCUGCUCUUAGGAAAUUUGAUGUUGACUUCAUUCUUCUAGCUGGAUAUCUAAAACUUAUACCAACAGAGUUGAUCCGAGCUUAUCCAAGAUCCAUGCUAAAUAUCCAUCCAUCACUUCUUCCAGCAUUUGGUGGCAAAGGCUAUUAUGGAAUGAAGGUGCAUAACGCUGUCAUUGCUUCUGGAGCUAGAUACUCUGGUCCCACCAUUCAUUUUGUUGAUGAGCAUUAUGACACUGGACGAAUCCUUGCUCAAAGAGUCAUCCCUGUGUUGUGGAAUGACACAGCACAGGAUCUGGCUGCAAGAGUUCUUCAGGAGGAGCAUCGAUUAUUCGUGGAGGUCGUGGCAGCUUUAUGUGAAGAACGAGUAAUUUGGAGGGAAGAUGGUGUCCCUAUCAUCCAAAGCAAAGAGAAUCCAAGCUAUUACAGCUAACUCAACCAAGCACUGGUGCGGGUUGAUUCGGAUCCACCCCUGACUCCAUUAAAUGCAGCCGCAAGUUGCCCAACUUUUAAACCAUUAUGUGAUCGCAAAUUCAUCUGCGUAGAGAAUAUAUGGCCUGACCUGCUGCAAGGCGAUAAACCCAUUGGAGAUUUUGGCAUCACUGGAAGCGCAUUGGAUGGCUUCUUUUAUAAGAACCAAACCACUUAGCCUGCACAUGUUCCUGCUGAAGAUUGUGGUCGAGUUUGGAUCUAACAAGCUGAAUUCAAGUCAGAUAUUGGACUUUGUUUUCGUAAACAAGUUAAGUUUAAGCUAGUUCAUAUGAAUUCUGAAGUUAAUUUAUUUUUUAAUUUAAUUUCAGUCUCAAUUCGACAAAA